AUCCAGGUCGUCCAACGGUAGGACACCCCAAUGUGGUUGGGGAGGCCGGGGUUCAACUCCUCGUCUGGGCA